UACGAACUGUGCAACCGUUAUUCGGAUUCACUGGGCUUAAAGGGUGCGUAGGCGGCCAUGUAAGUAGGGUGUGAAAUCCCCCGGCUUAACCGGGGAACUGCGCCCUAAACUGUGUGGCUUGAGUGAGAUAGGGGUGUGUGGAACUUCCGGUGGAGCGGUGAAAUGUGUUGAUAUCGGAAGGAACGCCGGUGGCGAAAGCGACACACUGGGUCUCAACUGACGCUGAGGCACGAAAGCCAGGGGAGCGAACGGG
rnacentral:rRNA from 1 species